GAUGAACGCUGACAGAAUGCUUAACACAUGCAAGUCAACUUGAACUUCGGUUUGGGUGGCGGACGGGUGAGUAACGCGUACAGAACUUGCCUCACAGCUAGGGACAACAUUUGGAAACGAAUGCUAAUACCUGAUAUUAUGAUUUUAGGGCAUCCUAGAAUUAUGAAAGCUAUAUGCGCUGUGAGAGAGCUUUGCGUCCCAUUAGCUAGUUGGAGAGGUAACGGCUCACCAAGGCGAUGAUGGGUAGCCGGCCUGAGAGGGUGAACGGCCACAAGGGGACUGAGAGACGGCCCUUACGCCUACGGGAGGCAGCAGGGGGGAAUAAUGGACAAUGGACCAAGAGUCGGAUCCAGCAAUUCUGUGUGCACGAUGAAGUUUUUCGGAAUGUAAAGUGCUUUCAGUUGGGAAGAAAAAAAUGACGGUACCAACAGAAGAAGUGACGGCUAAAUACGUG
rnacentral:rRNA from 1 species